rnacentral:rRNA from 1 species
UACCAGCUCUCCGAGUGGUAGGGAUGAUUAUUGGGCUUAAAGCGUCCGUAGCCGGCUUAGCAAGUCUCCUGUUAAACUCAGCGACCUAAUCGUUGAAUCGCGGGAGAUACUACUAGGCUAGGAGGCGGGAGAGGUCGACGGUACUUCUGGGGUAGGGGUGAAAUCCUAUAAUCCCAGGAGGACCACCAGUGGCGAAGGCUGUCGACUAGAACGCGCUCGACGGUGAGGGACGAAAGCUGGGGUAGCGAACCGGAUUAGAUACCCGGGUAGUCCCAGCUGUAAACGAUGCGGGCUAGGUGUUGGGAUGGCUACGUGCCAUUUCAGUGCCGCAGGGAAGCCAUUAAGCCCGCCGCCUGGGGAGUACGGCCGCAAGGCUGAAACUUAAAGGAAUUGGCGGGGGAGCACCACAAGGCGUGAAGCUUGCGGUUC